rnacentral:rRNA from 1 species
AUACGGAGGGGGCUAGCGUUGUUCGGAAUUACUGGGCGUAAAGCGCGCGUAGGCGGUCCGCGUAGUCGGGUGUGAAAGCCCCGGGCUCAACCUGGGAACUGCAUUCGAUACUGGGCAGCUAGAGUACGAGAGAGGGUGGUAGAAUUUCUAGUGUAGCGGUGAAAUGCGUAGAUAUUAGAAGGAAUACCAGUGGCGAAGGCGGCCACCUGGCUCGAUACUGACGCUGAGGUGCGAAAGCGUGGGGAGCAAACAGGAUUAGAAACCCCGGUAGUCC